GCAUUUGUGUCAUCUCGUGCUGCUUUUGAAAUGUUUUGGUCUGCUCGAGUCCUCAUGCUGCUCCUGUGGCUCUGAUGAACCUCUGUGUGUCACCAAAGAUCCUCACAUCAGAAGGCAAGGGCAGGCCGAGCUAAACAGCUGGCUGGAUUUGCAUGAAAAUGGACUGCCCUUUUUCAUUUGUUUGUUCUUGGGAAAUUACAGUAGGAAAUUCACAUAAGGAAUUGCUCCUGCUUCGCUCACCUUCGAGCAGAGAUUCAAGGUUGGAUUUUCCCUGGGUUCAUUGGACAUAUCUCUGAUCUACAAUUUGAGUCUCUGAAGCAACCACAGCCCUGGCAUAGCUGUGAGUGCCUGGAAUCACCAGCAGCCAGCCAGACAACUGCUCAAAUUGCUCUGAUGUUCCAAUACAGUGUAGAAAUAAUGCAGGAAACAAGACAUUUUGGCUCUGGAAGCUGACCUGGAAAUGGAUUUCUGGAGUAAGUCGAGUAU